CAGUCGCCGCGGUAAUACGAGGGGGGCAAGCGUUGUUCGGAAUUAUUGGGCGUAAAGGGUGCGUAGGCGGUUUGGCAAGUUUGGUGUGAAAUCUUCGGGCUCAACUCGAAGUCUGCAUCGAAAACUGCCGGGCUUGAGUAUGGGAGAGGUGAGUGGAAUUUCCGGUGUAGCGGUGAAAUGCGUAGAUAUCGGAAGGAACACCUGUGGCGAAAGCGGCUCACUGGACCAUAACUGACGCUGAUGCACGAAAGCUAGGGGAGCAAACAGGAUUAGAGACCCCAGUAGUCCCUGUCUCUUAUAU
rnacentral:rRNA from 1 species